rnacentral:rRNA from 1 species
GUUAUAGGGUCAAGCGAACAAGUGCAUGUGGUGGAUGCCUUGGCGAUCACAGGCGAUGAAGGACGCGGUAGCCUGCGAAAAGCUACGGGGAGCUGGCAAACAAGCUUUGAUCCGUAGAUGUCCGAAUGGGGAAACCCACUCCUUUUGGAGUAUCCAUAGCUGAAUACAUAGGCUAUGUGAAGCGAACGCGGUGAACUGAAACAUCUAAGUAACCGCAGGAAA